ACUGACCCACCGCUGCUCAUACAGGAUGAUUUUACUGCAGACGAGGGAUGCCUUCAGCCUCUGGAUCCCGGUCCGUGUCGAGAGUAUGUUGUUAAAUGGUAUUUUGAUCCAAAAGCCAAUUCAUGUGCUCAGUUCUGGUUUGGAGGUUGCCAAGGCAACAAAAACAAGUUUGACACUCAACAGGCCUGCAGAAAAUCCUGUGUGAAAAUGUAAGUCUUAUCAUUAGAGCACUGAAGAGACAUAAAGCUAAAAGGGCUCUUUAUUAUUGAAAUAUACAUACGCUUUUAAUAUUCAACAUUUUAAAUAAUAAACAUUUUUACUGUGAACAUUUUAAAAAACUACACUUGAACAAUCUACAAAUGCAUUAUUUGCAUAUAUAGUGGCCACAAGAAGUAUUUACACAAGGUUAAGU